rnacentral:scRNA from 1 species
AAAACCCUCUCCCCUGCCGCCCUAGCGGCCCG